GAGAUUGCAAACAUUUUACACAGUAAUUGGUUAACCAGGACUGUUACCAACUUUGGGAACUUUAACUUAGAACUCAGGAGAAUACCUGCCCGGUUCCAACCCGAGAUCUCCUUCAGAACUUGGCACCAGGGAAUUUGCAUCUAACGCUGAUCAAGGACGAAGGAUUCAUGGAGAAGUGAGAACAAACGAAAACCAGAAACAAGUAGAAAGAUUUCUUGAUUCUCAUAUUGAGAAGCUGCAACGACCUCAGACACAUCUGCCUAAAUGAAGUUCUUUAAGUGAAGAAUCUACAUUUGAAUAUUCUUUCUACAUUUUUGCAAAAGGUCAUAAAUUAAUCUUGAAAAUGAAGGCCAACUAAUAUUCUGGUUGAUGACAUGGGUAACUUUUGAAUGACAGUGACCUUUCCUCUCAGAAUUGAGUCCAAAAGUUUAUCAGGACCUUCAGUCUCAGAGGUUAGUAAGAUAUAAUUAUCUUAAAGCUCUGAAAACUGAAAAAUUUCACAUAAGUUUGAGGCAAGCUCAUUUGGUGGUAAAAACUGACCUGAACUGAUGCAAGACUAUUUUUAGCCUUUAUUAAUCCCAUAUAAUAUGAACAUUCAUACAUUUUACUGCAGAAAUAUUAAUGUGUUUGAUAAUAGAGUAUUUUUCCAGACUCUGUUGGAGAGUGUUGCAUAAUACAUAGUAUACUAUGUACUCUAUUACAAAUCUACAACUGAAAAAGUUCUAUAUUCCAAAAUGUAUUUGGCCCAAGGGUUUCAGAUAAUGAAAUGUGGACCUGUAGUAGGUUUCCAUAAUUUUGACCAGAAGGAUACAGUGGGAUAUUCUGAUUACCCUUAUCAUUUAUAUAGUUAUUCAUACCAAGUUUCUCCAAGUGUCUGUUUUUAUAAAAUAUGUGUGGAGUAUAAAUCUGCUUAUAUCUUUUUUAAAAAGUGCCCAGACUUUUAAAAUGGCUCAAACAGAAAGCUUCACAUUACUUUGGCUUGACCUGCUACUCCAACUAUUAACUUCUCUCCUUUUACAGAUUGAAAACAACUUAUAAAAUUAAUUAGGCAGUCUAAGAGAUCAUAUGGCUUAGAAAUUUGGGUAAUAGGGCUUCAACUUCUUUUUCUCUAAGUCAGGGGCUUGCAAACCAUGACCUGUGGGCCAAAGCCACCCUUUUGCCUGUUUCACAGCUAUGCCCAUGUUUGCAUACUGCCUGUGGCUGCUUUCCUGCUACAGUGGCAGAGUUGAGUGCUUGUGGCAGAGACCACAUGACCUGCAAAGACUAAAAUAUUUACUCUCUUAGGGCUGGCCCCAUGGUCGAGUGGUUAAGUCUGUGCACUCCGCUUUGGUGGCCA
rnacentral:lncRNA from 1 species